CAAAAACAGAAAGAGAUAGAUAUAUAUACGAUCGUAUUGUGUCGCGUAAGGCCUGACAGUCGGGCACACGCGGCUGCCAUUUUAGUUGCGUCAGCGACGCGGACCGAGUCGUACUGCAUGUGAGGGUCCUCCAGCGCCACUAUUGUUUAUAUUUACGCGAGCAAUUAUGAAAGAAAGAAAAUAUGCAGUUUCCAGCCUCCUCAAUCAGUUGAUAAUAACACAGGAGAUAAAAAUGCAGCAGUUUUCUCACCAGAGCUAAUAAGACCACUGCCUAAAGCACCUCCCCGACUAAUUGGACAUACUAAAGCACGUAAAAGAAAGACAGCUUUUCUUACGGACACUCCAGAGAAAAAUGCUUUAGCAGAAGAACAGGCUAGUAAAAAGAAGAAAAAAGAAAGCGAAACUAAAAAGAAGGUUAAGGGAAAAGGGACGGGAAAAUGCAAGGGAAA